rnacentral:rRNA from 1 species
UUUUAUUUGAGAGUUUGAUCCUGGCUCAGGAUGAACGCUGGCGGCGUGCCUAACACAUGCAAGUUGAGCGAUUUACUUCGGUAAAGAGCGGCGGACGGGUGAGUAACGCGUGGGUAACCUACCCUGUACACACGGAUAACAUACCGAAAGGUAUGCUAAUACGGGAUAAUAUAUUUGAGAGGCAUCUCUUAAAUAUCAAAGGUGAGCCAGUACAGGAUGGACCCGCGUCUGAUUAGCUAGUUGGUAAGGUAACGGCUUACCAAGGCAACGAUCAGUAGCCGACCUGAGAGGGUGAUCGGCCACAUUGGAACUGAGACACGGUCCAAACUCCUACGGGAGGCAGCAGUGGGGAAUAUUGCACAAUGGGCGAAAGCCUGAUGCAGCAACGCCGCGUGAGUGAUGAAGGCCUUCGGGUCGUAAAACUCUGUCCUCAAGGAAGAUAAUGACGGUACUUGAGGAGGAAGCCCCGGCUAACUACGUGCCAGCAGCCGCGGUAAUACGUAGGGGGCUAGCGUU